GUUUGAUCCUGGCUCAGGACGAACGCUGGCGGCGUGCUUAACACAUGCAAGUCGAACGGAGCACCCCUGAAGGAGUUUUCGGACAACGGAAGGGAAUGCUUAGUGGCGGACUGGUGAGUAACGCGUGAGGAACCUGCCUUUCGGAGGGGGACAACAGUUGGAAGCGACUGCUAAUACCGCAUGAUGCAUUUGGAUCGCAUGGUCUGAAUGUCAAAGAUUUAUCGCCGAAAGAUGGCCUCGCGUCUGAUUAGCUUGUUGGUGAGGUAACGGCCCACCAAGGCGACGAUCAGUAGCCGGACUGAGAGGUUGGCCGGCCACAUUGGGACUGAGAUACGGCCCAGACUCCUACGGGAGGCAGCAGUGGGGAAUAUUGGGCAAUGGACGCAAGUCUGACCCAGCAACGCCGCGUGAAGGAAGAAGGCUUUCGGGUUGUAAACUUCUUUUAAGGGGGAAGAGCAGAAGACGGUACCCCUUGAAUAAGCCACGGCUAACUACGUGCCAGCAGCCGCGGUAAUACGUAGGUGGCAAGCGUUGUCCGGAUUUACUGGGUGUAAAGGGCGUGCAGCCGGAGAGACAAGUCAGAUGUGAAAUCCACGGGCUCAACCCGUGAACUGCAUUUGAAACUGUUUCCCUUGAGUGUCGGAGAGGUAAUCGGAAUUCCUAGUGUAGCGGUGAAAUGCGU
rnacentral:rRNA from 1 species